rnacentral:rRNA from 1 species
AACUGACACUGAGGCACGAAGGCGUGGGGAGCAAACAGGAUUAGAUACCCUGGUAGUCCACGCAGUAAACGAUGAUCACUAACUGUUGGAUUCAGUGGUUAAGCUAAAGUGAUAAGUGAUCCACCUGAGAAGUACGAUCGCAAGAUUGAAACUCAAAGGAAUUGACGGUGGCCCGCACAAUCGGUGGAGCAUGUGGUUUAAUUCGAUGCUACGCGAGGAACCUUACCAAGAAUUAAAUGUACUACGAAUAAACUAGAAAUAGUUUAGUCUCGGAGUACAAGGUGCUGCAUGGUUGUCGUCAGCUCGUGCCGUGAGGUGUCAGGUUAAGUCCUUUAACGAGCGCAACCCCCAUUAUUAGUUGCCAGGGAACUCUAAUCAAACUGCCAGCGCAAGCUGAGAGGAAGGUGGGGAUGACGUCAAAUCAUCACGGCCCUAAAGUCUUGGGCUACACACGUGCUACAAUGGUCGUAACAAAAAGAGGCAAAUGGGUAACCAUAAGCAAAUCUCCAAACUCGAUCUAAGUUCGGAUUGGAGUCUGCAACUCGACUCUAUGAAGCUGGAAUCGGUAGUAAUCGCACAUCAGCAAUGGUGCGGUGAAUACGUUCUCGGGCCUUGUACACACCGCCCGUCAAGC